UCCCUCCCUUAAACACACGGCUUCACCCCUCUAGUUUGCCCUGCUCCUUUUAUUGACGCGAACCUCCCGUUCUCGCGGGAACUUGGAAGCGGGAGCAGGGUAGGGUGGACAAAUCUCUCGAAAUCUCAGUUGGCGCUGGAGUUGGAGCGGCGGCCCGAGCUCCUGAGGGUCGGGGCGGGGCCUGGGACCUGGAAGGGGCGGGGCCUAAGCUCAGAGAGGGGAGGGAAGAGGCAGGAGGGGGAGUUGAGAAACACCAGGGGCGGGGCCGCGCGGCCGGGAACCUGUUGAUCGCAGGUAGAGCCCAUCGGCCGUGGCUCCCGCGGGACUGGGGCGACUGCGCAUGCUCGGUGGCCGCGCUGGGCCAGUCGCCGAGCCGCGGAGACGAACCGAGUCUUCGGCUGCGGUGGUUGCGGUUGCAGCGAUGGCGAUGUGAGGGGCCCCGGGGAGGGAUGGUGCUGACCUGGGUAGGGCCGUCUUCUUCCAAGCAGGACAACGAGCUCCUCCCCGCGACAGGCGGUGGAAGAGGCGGGGCCGGGCGAGAGGGCUGAAGAUCAGCUGGAUUAUGUAUUUCGUUGUGGAAUCUCAGGGCAGUCCACACACAGUAAUUUCUUCCUCAUGUUAUCUAAGUCAAGUAAGAAUUAAGUUUUUCUCUUUCUAUUUUACAACAAAAAAGCAAAAAAGUGUAGUCCCUUAUUC
rnacentral:lncRNA from 1 species